UUAAGUUAAAAAGGGCGCAUGGUGAAUGCCUUGGCACUAGAAGCCGAUGAAGGACGGGACUAACACCGAUAUGCUUCGGGGAGCUGUACGUAAGCUUUGAUCCGGAGAUUUCCGAAUGGGGAAACCCAGCAGCUUUAAUCAGCUGUUACUAUAUAGUGAAUUCAUAGCUAUAUAGAGGUAGACGUGGGGAACUGAAACAUCUCAGUACCCACAGGAGCAGAAAGAAAUUUCGAUUCCCUAAGUAGCGGCGAGCGAACGGGGAACAGCCCAAACCAACGAGCUUGCUCGUUGGGGUUGUAGGACUGAACAUUUGAGUUACCAAAGUUGUUGAUAAUCGAACAAUCUGGGAAGGUUGGCGAAACAGGGUGAUAGCCCCGUAGGUGAAAUCAAUGACCCUCAGUUCAGGAUCCUGAGUACGGCGACACACGUGAAACGUCGUCGGAAUCCGGGAGGACCAUCUCCCAAGGCUAAAUACUCUCUAGUGACCGAUAGUGAACCAGUACCGUGAGGGAAAGGUGAAAAGCACCCCGGAAGGGGAGUGAAAUAGUUCCUGAAACCAUGUGCCUACAAGCAGUUAGAGCCCGUUAAUGGGUGAUAGCGUGCCUCUUGUAGAAUGAACCGGCGAGUUACGGUAACAUGCAAGGUUAAGGUUUAAAAGCCGGAGCCGCAGCGAAAGCGAGUCUGAAAUGGGCGUUUGAGUAUGUUGCUGUAGACCCGAAACCAGGUGAUCUACCCAUGUCCAGGCUGAAGGUGCGGUAAAACGCACUGGAGGGCCGAACCCGUGUACGUUGAAAAGUGCUGGGAUGAGGUGUGGGUAGCGGUGAAAUUCCAAACGAACUUGGAGAUAGCUGGUUCUCUCCGAAAUAGCUUUAGGGCUAGCCUCGGACGUAGAAUCAUGGAGGUAGAGCCACUGUUUGGAUGAGGGGCCCGUCAUGGGUUACUAAGUUCAGAUAAACUCCGAAUACCAUUGAUUUUUAUCCGGGAGUCAGACGGUGAGUGAUAAGAUCCAUCGUCAAAAGGGGAACAGCCCAGACCACCAGUUAAGGUCCCUAAAUAUAUGCUAAGUGGAAAAGGAUGUGGAGUUGCAUAGACAACUAGGAUGUUGGCUCAGAAGCAGCCAUCAUUUAAAGAGUGCGUAAUAGCUCACUAGUCGAGUGAUUCCGCGCCGAAAAUUUACCGGGGCUAAGCAUAUUACCGAGACUGUGGACUUGACCUUUGGUCAAGUGAUAGGAGAGCGUUCUAAGGGCAAUGAAGCCAGACCGUAAGGACUGGUGGAGCGCUUAGAAGUGAGAAUGCCGGUAUGAGUAGCGAAAGAUCAGUGAGAAUCUGAUCCACCGAAUGACUAAGGUUUCCUGGGGAAGGCUCGUCCUCCCAGGGUUAGUCGGGACCUAAGCCGAGGCCGAAAGGCGUAGGCGAUGGAUAACAGGUUGAGAUUCCUGUACUAGUUGAUGAUGUUUGAGCGAUGGAGGGACGCAGGAGGCUAAGUUGUGCAUCCAGUUGGAAAGGGAUGUUCAAGCAACGAGUCAGUCAAUGAGUUAAAUGCUUAUUGGCGGGUUGACAAGUUGUGAUGAGGACCGAAAUUUAAGUAGGGAAGCAACCAACGUCACACUGCCGAGAAAAGCUUCUAGUGAGUCAUCAACUACCCGUACCGCAAACCGACACAGGUAGUCGAGGAGAGAAUCCUCAGGUGAGCGAGUGAACUCUCGUUAAGGAACUCGGCAAAAUGACCCCGUAACUUCGGGAGAAGGGGUGCUGUGCGCAAGCACAGCCGCAGUGAAAAGGCCCAGGCGACUGUUUAUCAAAAACACAGGUUUCUGCAAAAUCGUAAGAUGACGUAUAGGGGCUGACGCCUGCCCGGUGCUGGAAGGUUAAGUGGAUGAGUUAGCUUCGGCGAAGCCCAGAAAUGAAGCCCCAGUAAACGGCGGCCGUAACUAUAACGGUCCUAAGGUAGCGAAAUUCCUUGUCGGGUAAGUUCCGACCCGCACGAAAGGCGUAACGAUCUGGGCACUGUCUCAACGAGAGACUCGGUGAAAUUAAGAUACCUGUGAAGAAGCAGGUUACCCGCGACAGGACGGAAAGACCCCAUGGAGCUUUACUGUAGCUUGAUAUUGGGUGUUGACACAGCUUGUACAGGAUAGGUAGGAGCCAUUGAAGCCGGAACGCUAGUUUCGGCAGAGGCGUUGGUGGGAUACUACCCUCGCUGUGUGAACACUCUAACCCGCGCCACUCAGCGUGGCGGGAGACAGUGUCAGGUAGGCAGUUUGACUGGGGCGGUCGCCUCCCAAACAGUAACGGAGGCGCCCAAAGGUUCCCUCAGAAUGGUUGGAAAUCAUUCAACGAGUGUAAAGGCAGAAGGGAGCUUGACUGCGAGACAGACAGGUCGAGCAGGGACGAAAGUCGGGCUUAGUGAUCCGGUGGUACCGUAUGGAAGGGCCAUCGCUCAACGGAUAAAAGCUACCCUGGGGAUAACAGGCUUAUCUCCCCCAAGAGUCCACAUCGACGGGGAGGUUUGGCACCUCGAUGUCGGCUCAUCGCAUCCUGGGGCUGUAGUCGGUCCCAAGGGUUGGGCUGUUCGCCCAUUAAAGCGGUACGCGAGCUGGGUUCAGAACGUCGUGAGACAGUUCGGUCCCUAUCCGUCGCGGGCGUAGGAAAUUUGAGAGGAGCUGUCCUUAGUACGAGAGGACCGGGAUGGACAUACCGCUGGUGUACCAGUUGCGCCGCCAGGCGCACCGCUGGGUAGCUACGUAUGGAUGAGAUAAACGCUGAAAGCAUCUAAGUGUGAAACUCACCUCAAGAUGAGAUUUCCCAUUCCUAUAUGGAAGUAAGACCCCUGAGAGAUGAUCAGGUAGAUAGGUUGGAAGUGGAAGUGCAGUGAUGUACGGAGCGGACCAAUACUAAUCGGUCGAGGACUUAACC
rnacentral:rRNA from 2 species